GACGAACGCUGGCGGCGUGCUUAACACAUGCAAGUCGAGCGGAGCGGCGAACGGGUGCGUACCGCGUGAGUAACUGCCCCCCUCUCUGGGAUAAAAGUUGGAUACGGCUGCUCAUACAGGAUAGUGGGGGUUGACUCGCGUCCUAUCAGCUUGUUGGUGGGGUAGUGGCCGACCGAGGCGAAGACGGGUAGCCUGCCGGAGAGGGCGCCCGGCCACAUGGGGCUGAGAUACGGCCCAAACUCGUACGGGGUGCAGCAGUGGGGAAUAUUGCACAAGGGGGGAAACCCUGAUGCAGCAACGCGCGUGCGGGAUGUCGGCCUUCGGGUUGUAAACCGCUUUCAGCCAUGACGCGGUAGUGGCAGAAUAAGCACCGGCUAACUACGUGCCAGCAGCCGCGGUAAUAC
rnacentral:rRNA from 1 species